rnacentral:rRNA from 1 species
CCAAUAGCGUAUAUUAAAGUUGCUGCAGUUAAAAAGCUCGUAGUUGAAUUUCGGGACCAAUAUGUUGGUCGUGCUUUUGUACGUACUGAUAUAAUUGGUUUCUCCCUUCUGAAGAACCUUGAUGUCAUUAAUUUGGUGUCUUGGGGAAUCAGGACUGUUACUUUGAAAAAAUUAGAGUGUUUAAAGCAGGCUCGCGCUUG